GCACUGCUGAGUAGUCCCAUAAUAGGACGAAACGGCUGUACAGUAC
rnacentral:hammerhead_ribozyme from 1 species